CUGUCUCAGUUCGGAUCGGAGUCUGCAACCCGACUCCGUGAAGCUGGAUUCGCUAGUAAUCGCGCAUCAGCCAUGGCGCGGUGAAUACGUUCCCGGGCCUUGUACACACCGCCCGUCAAGCCAUGGAAGCCGGGAGUGCCUGAAGUAUGCAACCGCAAGGAGCGUCCUAAGGUAAAACCGGUGACUGGGGCUAAGUCGUAACAAGGUAUC
rnacentral:rRNA from 1 species